CUCUCUCUCUCUCUCUCUCCUCUUCCUUAUUCACUCCAUCGACGACGACGCCCUCCCUCUCAUCUUCCUUCGCUCCAUCAACGACUUGACUAUGCCCUCUCUUCAAUCCAAACGGCAUAGGUCAUGUCGUUUGGUGCUCGUCUUCUCUUCAACAAGAAAGAAGUGGAAGCAAAGGGAGUCACUGGACCUUUUCCUAGCCCGCCAUUUUUUGAAGUUGAGAAGCUAGGGCAUCGAUUUUUGAGCUUGACAAGCCAUGGAGUAGACGAUGUGGAGCCAUUUACCGCUAUUGGCUAGGUCCAAUUCGAAAGUUCGGUUGAGUACAUUCUUCGGGCUCUUUGGAGGACCCGAAAAACUGGUCUCGACCCGGCCAACUGAGACAAUAUGCUCUAGCUCCAGAACGAAUCAGACCUCAACCCGAAUCCUUGGGAGUUUUGAUCCUGAAGUCUCAUGGAAUUUUCCCAGAAGCACGAUGGUAUUGGAUUGGAGUAGCGGCUUUAAUUGGAUAUAUUUUUCUAUUCAAUCUACUUCUUACUUUGGCUCUGCAGUAUCUUGAUCCAUUUGGUGAUCUCAGACAAUACUAUCCAAAGAAGGAAUGGCUGAAAGAAAAGCUAGCACAAUUGGAGAGUUCAUUGAGCUAUUGCCAAGAGGAAAGAGCUCUUCUGAAAUUACUGAAGGUCAAAGAAGCUUACUGUUAUCUGAAAGAGGGGGAAGAACUGAUGAAGCUAAUGGGAAAAGGAAGCGUGGAAUGGUUCUUCUUUUUCAACUGCAUUCCCUUGCUUUCAAUGAGAUCAGAUAUGCAAUAAAUAUGCCACAGGUAACUUUCGACGUUAAAUUAGAAGUACCUCAACAAUAAUGGCUAUACUAUUUCUUUUUUUAAAAAUUAGCAUUUUGUAGCCAUUAAUUUUUUUAAAAAGCAAUAGUAUAGCCGCACGACUGUUGACGCUUUUCUAGACGUGUUGCAUUGUAGUUUUGCAUACACUAGAUUGCAGUUUUACACACUGCAUUACAGUUUCCAUUUAAUUACAAUUGGCUAAAUUGUUUUAUCAUUGGAUAUUGGUAUGAUUUUUGAAGUUAAU